rnacentral:misc_RNA from 1 species
GAUGAAGAACGCAGCGAAAUGCGAUAAGUAGUGUGAAUUGCAGAAUUCAGUGAAUCAUCGAAUCUUUGAACGCACAUUGCGCCCUUUGGUAUUCCAAAGGGCAUGCCUGUUCGAGCGUCAUUUGUACCCUCAAGCUUUGCUUGGUGUUGGGCGUCUUGUCUCUAGCUUUGCUGGAGACUCGCCUUAAAGUAAUUGGCAGCCGGCCUACUGGUUUCGGAGCGCAGCACAAGUCGCACUCUCUAUCAGCAAAGGUCUAGCAUCCAUUAAGCCUUUUUUUCAACUUUUGACCUCGGAUCAGGUAGGGAAACCCGCUGAACUUAAGCAUAUCAAUAAGCGGAGGA